rnacentral:tRNA from 1 species
UCCCUGGUGGUCCAAUGGUUAGGACAUCGACCUUCCAGUUCAUGGGGCACAGGCUCGAUCCCUGGCCAGGGAA